AACGAACGCUGGCGGCGUGUUUAAGACAUGCAAGUCGAACGGGUUGAAGUUGUAGCAAUACCGCUUCAACCAGUGGCGCACGGGUGCGUAACACGUGAGUUACAUGCCCUGCAGUGGGGAAUAGCCCGCCGAAAGGCGGAUUAAUACCCCAUGGUCCCGCAAGGGUAAAGGUGGCGCAAGCUGCCGCUGCAGUAUUGGCUCGCGGCCUAUCAGCUAGUUGGCGAGGUAACGGCUCACCAAGGCGACGACGGGUACCUGGUCUGAGAGGAUGAUCAGGCACACUGGAACUGGGACACGGUCCAGACACCUACGGGUGGCAGCAGUCGAGAAUAAUUCACAAUGGGGGAAACCCUGAUGGUGCAACGCCGCGUGGAGGAUGAAGGUCUUCGGAUUGUAAACUCCUGUCAUCGGGGAGUAAGACCUGACGGUAAAUAGCCGGCAGGGUUGAUAGUACCCGAAGAGGAAGGGACGGCUAACUUCGUGCCAGCCGCCGCAGUAACAC
rnacentral:rRNA from 1 species